rfam:Emiliania huxleyi CCMP1516 EMIHTscaffold_98_Cont3312, whole genome shotgun sequence.
GCCUCCGUGGCCCAACGGAUAAGGCGCCCGACCACGGAUCGGGAGAUUGUGAGUUCGAAUCUCACCGGAGGUA